GAAGCCAGUGCACCCAAGUAAAUGGGAGACUCAUCCAGCCUCCUAAGGCAGCCAAGCCGCCAACCCUUCUUGCCCAGGAACUGGGCUGGGUGAGACCAUGUGUGCAGUGGCGGGGGUGGUGGUGCAGAGCUGGUACUGACCUCUCGCCACCCCAGUCUUUCCUGACACAUGAUCUUGGACAGGAAGAAAAAAAGGGGAGAAAAAACUAGCCCGGAAAACCCACUGGAAUAUUUGGCCUAUUCUGAAAAGACAGUAUUUUCUAAGAGGAGUGUGAUCCAUUUCCCCCCCCCCAAAUAAGCUUAAUUAACGCUGUAAAUAAACCAAUACAGUAAACAAAAGUUACCUCUAAAUAAGUACUUAAUUUUUAGCGAAAUCUUUGCUCCACUAAUAAUGCUCUUGGCAACCCCUUUGCUCUCCCAAAUUAAUUGUUCUCGAGUGGUCCCUGGUGUGAAGUUUGAACACAAAUGUGGAUGGAGGUGAGAGGAGAGUUUGCAGUUCACAGAAGGAAGUGAGGCGGACACGCCUGCUAAGCACUGCAUUGCAUCCUCCCGGGCAGUGCUCUGCCGGCUUUUAUAGGUGCAGGAAUAGGAAGCUGUGGAGACAGUCUAAAGACAGAUUUCAUUCCACCACCCCCCCCCCCCCAGCAUUUGAGUUGCUGUCAGGAUUCAAUGCUCAGAAAAUUCUGCAUCACCCCUAGAAAGAACAUAUCAGUCAUACAAGAUGCAGGUUAUUUGUCUUAUUUCUCUAUCAAUCUUGUUCUGGCUCUCUCUCUCCCAGAAGAUCACCUGUCUGCCCUUGAUGUAAAGAAUGGCAUAAAGCUGAAGAAGCCUUUAUAAAUCAAAAAGUGGGGAGCAUUGCUGAACUACUUGUACUUUUGGGUUUGACUCUUUUUAGUUUCUCUCUUAUAACUUAAGAGCAUGAAUAGGACAACGAUUAUGAAUAGAAACAAUAUUUAAAAGAGAAUGCAAACUGAAGCACAUCACAAUGCUAAGAAUAAAAGGCAUAUGUUUUUAACCAAUAACAAAAACUAUGAAAGCCAUUUUUACCAGAGAGAUCAAAGUCCUCACCUAGUUCAUCACUGAAUAUUAAUAACCUAGACUGAAAAUGUUUCUGAUAUAAUAUACGGGGAAAAACAGAGAUGGAAAGUUAAAAAGAGCCCUUAUAUGUAACAGGAUUUGACUGAAUUAUUCAUAAAUUACAUGGCGACUGUCAUCUUGAGAAGUAACAUUGGUAGGUCACCACCUCAGUCAUGGGUGGUUUUUCAGAUGAGAAUUCUGAGCAAGAUUGUUUAAAGAUUUUGAGAAACCUGGAACUGAAUACUCAUUGGCACCCUCCCGUACUUUUCCCCUCAGUAUGUGGAUACUGUUUGUUGUAAACCAUCCAGAGACGUGAGUUUUGGGUGGCAUAAAAAUAUGCUAAAUAAAUAAAUACUGCUUG